GUAAAUAUUGUAGUUAACAGAGAAACGAAUGUUCGCUAUAUGAAUAAAUACGAUACGUAUGGUAUUUAAAGGAAUUAGAUUUGAGAAUUUGUUAAGUUUUUAUCAAUUUAUCAAUUUAUUAUUAAUUUAUACGAUACGAAGUAAGACGAAAAAUAUUUUUUCAUGAUUCUCAAAUCGAUUUUUACAUUUUAUCUCCGAUUUUGUUUGUUGGAAAUCUUUAAAACUAAUUUAUGAAAUGUGGCUAAAGAAAGCGAGGAAGAUAUAGUUAGAGGGUGCGUUUUCGUAGUAAGUUGCAGCGUGUAGAGGCAGACGAAUUUCGGUGAGCUCGACGAGUUCGAGGAACACAUGUGCCGUGUGGUAAUGAUCAUUACCGUGUAAUGAUCGGACCAAUCGAUUGGCUUCGAUCGGUCCUGCGUGUUAGUGGUUCCCAACUUUGUUGCUGCGUUAUUCGAUACUUAAAUUAGCUUAGAUUAAAUUAGAUAAUUUUUAAACCAAUAUUUCGAAAAAACGAGACAUUAUAUUAUCUUUUUUAUUCAUCAAGUAUUGCUAAAAAUACAAAAAAAAAAAUUUAGAAAAGAAUUGGUAUCUCUAUUUUACUCAGAUUUUUCCCAAUUUCAAUUUAUUGUUAAUUAACAUAAUCGGGAUGGCAUCGAGAAGUAUUUCUUCGAUAUAAGAUUUUUUUCGAUAAAUAUGAAAAAAUGGUAAUAAAACGGCCAAUAAUAAAAUAAAAAAAAAGAAAAAUCGAAUAUUUAAAAAAUUUUCUCGACAAUUCGAAUGCAUCAAUCUCUAUAGGAAAUUCCCAUAAAUGCACAUAUUGCUUUCAAAUUAAUUAAUUAGUUAAUUCAAUGUUUUAAUCAGAGAUAGUGUUUUAUCGCGUUUUUUCGCGUUUGCCAUCAUUUAAUCGAAGAAUAUGGAAAGGAUAUAGGAAAAUUGAACGCAUCAGGUUGAAAAACACUGGCUAAGAGGGUACUGUACGUAACCGGUACGCGGCAAGUUCGCACCUUCGCAAAGAGGGUCCAUCGUGCGCUCGCCCUACCGCGCAACACCGCUCGUUAAACGAAUUAAGUAGUUACGGUUUGUUUAAUCGGGGCCACGGAGGCCUGAAUUAAGUUGUUAUCGCGAAUUAGCUGAUUAUACCGAGGCGGCGCGAGGUGUCGAGUUGAUUUGUUGUUGCGAAAUAUGGCAUGAGGUUUGUUUAUGCUCGCCACGCCCCACACCCCUCGCCGACCUUUCAGCUCGUUUACGGCUGACCUUAAAUAAGGUGCAUAGACCGUUCCAUCCAUCCACGCUACUCUCUCUUUACUCUCUUUCCAUCCAUGAUCCCACCCCUUUCACUCGCGCCACGGGAAUCAGGGGAUGGAUAAUCAUUCUCUAUAAUGCUAUGAUAACACUCUACAAGUGCAUGAUAUAUCGCUAAUAGCAGGAGACUCGUAAUCUGCCUUUUUUCGAGAAACACGAUACAUUUUUUCACAGGACUAAAACUAAUAUUGACUGUAACAACGUGUUUUUUUUUCCUUUUCAUUUAAUGUAAUUAUGGUAUCGCGUUUCCAUAGGAAAUUUAAGUCUCUGAUAACCACUCAGUUUUUUUGGAUUUCUUAAAUUUCUUAGAUUACAUUCGAUGCGAUAGAAAGAAAAAUGAUGGAAUAAUUAUUGGUAUAAAUUUAUCUUGUUAGCGGCGAAUUCGAUGGAACGGUAAGGAAUUGGUAAUGGAACAUCACGUGACUGAGGAAACCGUCAGGAGAGAAGAGGUAAAGGGAAGGUCAUAGACGUGUCGCGUUGAAGAGCGGUAAAAGGAUCGUUGGUCAUUUUCCACGAAAAUUAUAGCCAUCUAUGCGCGUAAUCCCCUUUAUGGCCGCGUUGCAUCAAAUUAUAACUGGCAAUGGCGCUGCCAUCGUCUUUCCUUCGUUCGUCUCUUCCUUUCCUCUCGACCCGUGCGCUUCGUUUCCCGUUUUUUUCGUUUUCUUGUAGAUACGCGUCCUCGAAGCCUCGUAAAACGGCACAUUCCGCCAAUCAUCGCGGCACAUCGGCCAGAUACGUAACCCUUCGACCCCCGAGCGACCUAACUCAACCUAACCUCUAAUUUCGCCGCUCGAUCCACGUGGACACAACGAUAAAUCGAUAAAUCAUCGCUACGAUCUCCCCGUGAACGCUUACGUGUAACAACAUGACGUGUAAGUUAGCCGAUCGUUAUUCGAGAUUGAAUUUUCAUUGCGAUUAAGAAAAACUAUACCGUAAUAGAAAUGCAAAUACAGAUUAAUUUUAACAUCUUCGAUAUCGGUCGUAUCGAUGGUUUUUUCGAUUUAAAAUUAACACAAUUGCAUAAAGGCACGUAGUUAAAUUGCGGCCAUUAUCGCGGAGAUCAAAUGAUGAAUGCCGAUUCGAGAAAUAUGAGGUUUGCGCGAACUCAACAGUGUGCAACCACGUAUCGAUUCACGUUGAUCGAUCCAUCGUAGUUAACGACCAUAGAUGGACAAGAAUUGCGAAAAGUAAUUAAAGCCGAUUGGUUACGAAUUAUAAUCAUGCUUGUAAAUUAAUUUUCGAUAUACUACCGAGAUAUCGUCUCAGAUAUAGGCGAACGAUCAAUGAAAAAUUAAAGAUAUGGCUUCUCUUAGUCGGACCACAAAUUAUAAUCAUCCUUCUAAAUUAAUUUUCGAUAUACUACCGAGAUAUCGUCUCAGAUAUAGGCGAAUGAUCAAUGAAAAAUUAAGAAAGGUAUAUGUAUUUUGAUAGUUCCAUUUAGAUUAGGUUAAGAUAGAUAAUAAGUUUAUGAUUCAGUUUCAGAUAUAAACUUCUUUUUUUACCAUAAAUUAUAAUCAAACUUAUAAAUUAAUUUUCGAUAUAGUAUCGUCUCAGAUAUAAGCGAACGAUCAAUGAAAAAUUAAGAAAGAUAUGGCCUCUCUUUUAGUACCACGAAUUAUAAUCAGGCUCGCAAAUUAAUUUUCCAUACAUUAUCGUUUCGGAUAUAAGAGAACGAUCAAUGAAAAAUUAAGAAAGAUACGUAUAUUUUGAUAGUUUUUUUAGGUUAGAUUAAAUAAUACUUUUUAGUACCAUGAAUUAUAAUCAGGCUCGCAAAUUAAUUUUCCGUACAUUAUCGUUUCGGAUAUAAGAGAACGAUCAAUGAAAAAUUAAGAAAGAUACGUAUAUUUUGAUAGUUUUUUUAGGUUAGAUUAAAUAGUCAACUUAUGAUAUUUCAGUUCCAGAUAUGGUUUCUCUUUCAUUCUCUUCUUUUAUACUCUUUAGUUUCACGUUUCAUCACAAAGUCAAAAGCAAAUACGAGAAUUAUUUCCAUCGUGCAAACGAAUAGACGAGGAUAUCGCGUUUCGAUAUAAAUUUUUCUACCAUGUUUGUUACGAGUUGAAAUGUUGAACAGUAAUAAAAAUGUCUUUGACCCACCUCUUUCGCAUCUCUCUCGAAAACGUUCCUGGACGUUUCUCAACUCGGAAUCCCGGGGAUAGAAAAAGCCGCGAUGGCACCAGAGGAGGACGUGCCAACCUGUAAUUGUUCUCCGAUGUAAUUGCCCCCUUGGCUUCUCCCAUUCGUGCUCGAGGACCUGGUGGACCCCCUUUCCCUCCCUCUGGCAGAAUUCUCAGCAGCCGAUUUCGAAAAGCAAGGACGUUUAUUGCGAGCUAUCUCACCGUUCUCUCGAGGUUCGACGUCCAUUAUUCUCUUCACCCGCGGUUAACAUCCAGAUUCUUUCUUCACCUCUUUAAUGAGAUCGUUUUCUCGCUGUUUCGCUACUUUGUGCUGUUAACUCAGCAGAAGGUAUGCGCUACGAAUUCACCUUUACGGAAGUAGAAUCCUUUCUGUUUGUGUAUCGCGGUAAAAGGAAAGUGCAAGGUAAAAUUGGAGCAAUUCUACUUUUUACUAAAUGUAUACUGGUUUCUCGAGUUACAUCGUUUAAUUUUCAAGUUACUCGAAAUAGAAAAUUUUUUGUAAAUAUUCGUCGAAUUUAUCGUAAAUUGCUUUUUUACGAUAAAACGGUUAGUUCGAUUUUCUACCAAAACACGGUUUUCUACCAAAACGGUUGAUAUGAAUUAUAAACUAUGAAACGUAUAGAAAAGCAGCGAUGAGGAAUGACAUGGCCCAUUCGGGUAAACUUGGUAAGAAAAAAGCAAUGGGAUGGUGGGUCAGUCUCGUGGAUCCGGAAUCGAAUGGAAAGCAAAGUGUCACGUCCACGGAUGAGCGACAACGAUGCGCACCGGCUUGCGAAAACGAUGAAAUCGAGCAAAACGAAAAAGGAAGGAGAGGAGGAGGCGUUAGAGAAUGAGAGAGAGAGAGAGAGAGAGAGAGAGAGAGAAUCUUGCAUUAGUCGAAGGAAGAAAUCGAGAUCGAGAAAAGAAAAGAAAGAGAGAAAGCAAAGAGAAGGAUCGAAUUAAGAAGAAAAAAGAAAGAAGGUAAGGAGAAAGAGAGAUGGGUGAAGAUCUCGAAGAGCUGAAUCGAGAGAACGGUUCGAUACGUUUAUGGAGAGGUUCGAAGUCGUGGAAUAAGGGCCGGGAACAUAAUUAUCCGCCAAGUCAAGGAACCCAAAGAGCCGGAGAGGAUAAAGGGGAGGGGGAUACCGCGCGACAGAGACAGCAGAGGGAGGAGAAAGAAAGAGGAUAAGAGAAUCGCAAAGAGAAUCUUAUUCUUCGGUGCGGUUGGAAUUUGAAAUGUUCAGAGGGCGCAUUAUCUUCUUGCCACCGCCACUCAGCGCCACUCAUGGAUUCCGUGAUGGUGCGUACACCUUAUUUCGAUACGCGAGUGUGUACACGUUCCAUGCCGUUACAAGUGUGUUACGUUCGAGGAAUUAAAUUGGAUUAGCGUACUUACACGGUGUAUUCGUAAGAUACAUGAACGUUACUCGGAGUGGCGGUCGAUACGCGCGUUUUCUUAUACGCGAUCUUGUCUGAUCUUUUGCCGUGAUCGAUACUUGUUGUUACGAGGAUAAAUGAAUAUGAAUACGCGACAUCGAUCAAAUUUAUUCCUCAAAUGGAUAUACGUCAGUUUUUUUUUUAUGGGGAUUUUUGAAAAGCAGCUACGAAAGAUUAUGUAUUAGAAUGUUUUAUAAAGAAUAUAGUGACUAGAAAUAGUGUUUGAUCAUGGGAUAACUGAAUAUAUUAUACAGACAUUGUAUCAAAUUUAUUUUUUUUUUUAUUUUUAAAUUUUGUACAAAAGUUUGCGUAUUAGAACGUUUUAUAAAGAUAGGGGACACGAUUAGAGAAAGGGAAGGAUGGAAAAUAGCGUUUGAGAGAAAAGAAACAGGUUAUAAACAUAGGUUAUAAACAUAGGUUAGAGAAAAGAAACAUAGGUUAGAAAUAUAGGUGGUCAGAUUGGCAUCGCGCCAUAUUCCAAGGUACGUAGCCACCGACUUUUUGCCGUCCCUCACAAGCCAAGGUGAGAAAUUGAAAAGUGGCUGUCCGCUGGGUAAUUAAGAUUUCGGCUCUUUGUACCGUACGGAGAUCUUGCUCCCCGUCGAUUUCGCGCCAUCUUUUGGCAAGGUUCCCAAUCUUGAAGAUCGCCUCAUCGUAAAACGACGCGUUAUUCGUAUUCAUUUAACGAAUAAGUCGUUCGUGUUUUCAUCGCAUAGAUUACAUCUUUAUCUUUCUUUGUCAAAUUGUAUCAGUAUUCUUUUUUUCAUGAAAGAACAAUAAAAAAAAUCGUACUAUAACAAUCGUUUAGAAAAAAAAAAUUCUGAUUUUUUUUUUGCGAAAUUAGAUGAUUUAAAAGAUAAUGUGAAAAAAUAGGAAAAAUUCCAGGAUAAUGUGUUAAUUCGAAUGGAAAGAGAUUGGAUAGAGUGACCGGUUGACCCGGUGAACGAAUCCGAAGAGAAGAUAUCGCGGAAAGAGUGGCGAUUCCGUAGUGGUAACGAGUCGAGAUGGCCGAGAACAUCGGCGGUGCCACUUCAAAGCGGGAAUCCCGCGCAAUCAGAUUCUCUUGCCCUCCCUGCUCGCUUGAAAAACCGAGCGAGGGGCUACCAGAUCUCUUCGUCUCUUCCUUCUUCUGUCCUCUCUUUGGGCUGGACGUUCGCCAGGAUAUAUCCAGUCGCAUCGAGUAACGAUCAUCUUUCCAACGAUUCUCCGUUAACACCAUCGUUUUUAUCGAUUUUUAAAAUCAAAAUCGAAAGACGAAUCGAGUUCGAUAUAUGCUGUAAUAGUGAAUUCAAGAAAAUUGCAGAAAAUUCGAAAAAAAAAUUUAUUAUGUACUCUUUUGAACUUAUUAUUAAUUAAAAUUAAAAUUUUGCAACAAGAAA